ACAUGUCUUUUUAGAAUUUAAUAUAAAGUCUGGCCUGCCCACUGAAUAAUAUUUGAAGGGCCGCAGUAUUUUGACUGUGCAAAGGUAGCAUAAUCAUUAGUCUUUUAAUUGGGGGCUGGUAUGAAUGGUCGGAUGAGAUAUAAGCUGUGUCAAAAAAAUUAUUAUUUGAAUUUAACUUUUUAGUCAAAAGGCUAAAAUAAAUUUAAAAGACGAGAAGACCCUAUAGAGCUUUAUAUAAUAAGUAUUUAAAUUAUUAAGAUUUAUUAAAUUUAAUUUUUAUAUUGUAUUUUGUUGGGGUGACAAUAAAAUUUAUUAAACUUUUAUUUUUAUUUAACAUUAAUUUAUGAUUAUAUGAUCCAAUUUUAUUGAUUAUAAAUUUAAGUUACCUUAGGGAUAACAGCGUAAUUUUUUUUGAGAGUUCUUAUCGACAAAAAAGAUUGCGACCUCGAUGUUGGAUUAAGAGUAAUUUUGGGUGUAGAAGUUCAAAAUUUAAGUCUGUUCGACUUUUAAAUUCUUACAUGAUC
rnacentral:rRNA from 1 species